rfam:Nicotiana sylvestris Nsyl_contig28745, whole genome shotgun sequence.
UGGACAGAUUAUUGUAUUCGACUGUAUUCACAGCGUGAAAUAGGGGAUUACACUAUUUUUAAAAUGGAAAGUGAAUCAAUUAACAUAAUAGACUCCU